UUCGGUCUGGCGGCGAGUGGCGAACGGGUGAGUAAUGCAUCGGAACGUACCUUUCAGUGGGGGAUAACGUAGCGAAAGUUACGCUAAUACCGCAUAUUCUGUGAGCAGGAAAGCAGGGGAUCGCAAGACCUUGCGCUGAUGGAGCGGCCGAUGUCAGAUUAGCUAGUUGGUGGGGUAAAGGCUCACCAAGGCGACGAUCUGUAGCGGGUCUUAGAGGAUGAUCCGCCACACUGGAACUGAGACACGGUCCAGACUCCUACGGGAGGCAGCAGUGGGGAAUUUUGGACAAUGGGCGCAAGCCUGAUCCAGCCAUGCCGCGUGAGUGAAGAAGGCCUUCGGGUUGUAAAGCUCUUUCGGCCGGGAAAAAAUCGCUUGGGUUAAUACCCUGAGUGGAUGAUGGUACCGGAAUAAGAAGCACCGGCUAACUACGUGCCAGCAGCCGCGGUAAUACGUAGGGUGCGAGCGUUAAUCGGAAUUACUGGGCGUAAAGCGUGCGCAGGCGGUUUUGUAAGACAGGCGUGAAAUCCCCGGGCUCAACCUGGGAACU
rnacentral:rRNA from 1 species